CACGUAGGGUGCAAGCGUUGUCCGGAAUCAUUGGGCGUAAAGAGCUCGUAGGCGUCUUAGUAAGUCGGGUGUGAAAACUCUAGGCUCAACCUAGAGACGCCACCCGAUACUGCUAUAGCUAGAAUCCAGUAGGGGAGUGUGGAAUUCCCAGUGUAGCGGUGAAAUGCGCAGAUAUUGGGAGGAACACCAGCGGCGAAGGCGGCACUCUGGGCUGGUAUUGACGCUGAGGAGCGAAAGCGUGGGUAGCGAACAGG
rnacentral:rRNA from 1 species